rnacentral:tRNA from 1 species
GGGUCCUUAGCUCAAUAGGUUAGAGCAAUUGACUGUUAAUCAAUAGGUUGUGGGUUCGAGUCCCACAGGUCCCG